ACGAACGCUGGCGGCGUGCUUAACACAUGCAAGUCGAACGGAAAGGCCCUGCUUUUGUGGGGUGCUCGAGUGGCGAACGGGUGAGUAACACGUUAGUAACCUGCCCUUGACUUUGGGAUAACUUCAGGAAACUUGGGCUAAUACCGGAUAGGAGCUCCUGCUGCAUGGUGGGGGUUGGAAAGUUUCGGCGGUUGGGGAUGGACUCGCGGCUUAUCAGCUUGUUGGUGGGGUAGUGGCUUACCAAGGCUUUGACGGGUAGCCGGCCUGAGAGGGUGACCGGCAACAUUGGGACUGAGAUACGGCGCAGACUCCUACGGGAGGCAGCAGUGGGGAAUAUUGCACAAUGGGCGGAAGCCUGAUGCAGAAACGCCGCGUGCGGGAUGACGGCCUUCGGGUUGUAAACCGCUUUCGCCUGUGACGAAGCGUGAGUGACGGUAAUGGGUAAAGAAGCACCGGCUAACUACGUG
rnacentral:rRNA from 1 species